UUAAUUGUUUUUUUGUUUUUUUUUUUGUUUUUUGUUUUUUAAAUAGUGAGAUUAUACUGAACUAAGCCUUUAUUAAACGAGACUGUAGAAUUGUUAUUUACCCAAUCGAAAUACCCAGUGUUAUUCAUGGACCUACCGUCCCCGUUGAACUUGCACGAGGUUGAAAGUCAAGGAUACAUUUGAAACAGCCCACAUCACAUCGGUGUGAAUAGCAAAUAGGAGGUGAUACAUUAGUGAUUAUUGGCACAUCAAACAAAUUUAUGACAACGAGAUGUAGUACAGGCUCCCUUCUAAAUUUACAGUCUAGAGAUUUUGUCAGACUGAACGAAAAUCUCCUUCCCAGUAAAAGAACAACAUGGUUAAUGAGGAUUUGUUGUUUGUAAAAUGUUGGCUGCUGUAAACUCUGGUUUUAGUUCCUUUUUGUUUCUUGAUUUGAGGUUAAUCAUAAUCCCUCACAGCUGUUUUGUGGACUGGUUUCUUACAGCACUAUUUGUUACGUCACUGAGAGCGCGAGUAGGCUGCCUACGUCAAUAAUCUAAAACGCAGUGUGUUUAUUGAAAUUGUGUGGUCCUGGCUCGGUGAUCCUUGAGCCAAUGCUGGCCUUCGUCCAUGACAGAAGAGUGACUUAACUAUGGCCUGUAACGACGACCUCUAACUACGAAACUUCGGCCUGUAACUACCCAACACGAGGUCACUGGGCACUAGCAGUCAAGAGGAACUAUGCAACCUUCCACGGCAGUUGCAGACCCCCAAGAUCUCCUGGUCAUUCCUUGAGCCCGGUUAAAAGCAAGUCCCUGACAAUUAUCAGAUCAUCAAGGAUUGUAUGGUCUUUGGUUGAGACCCGGAUUGCAGAGAGACGUUUUCAAUAACUUGUGAAGUUUAUUACCAACAUCGUCAAGAUUACCCAUUAAUUUAAUAGUGGAGUUCAACCUGCAGACGGGCCUGACAGUUUGCAUGUCCUUCACGCUUGAAGGUCACG